AAUAAGCGGAGGAAAAGAAACCAACAGGGAUUGCCUUAGUAACGGCGAGUGAAGCGGCAAAAGCUCAAAUUUGAAAUCUAGCACUUUCAGUGUUCGAGUUGUAAUUUGAAGAAGGUAACUUUGGAAUUGGCUCUUGUCUAUGUUCCUUGGAACAGGACGUCACAGAGGGUGAGAAUCCCGUGCGAUGAGAUGUCCAAUUCUAUGUAAAGUGCUUUCGAAGAGUCGAGUUGUUUGGGAAUGCAGCUCUAAGUGGGUGGUAAAUUCCAUCUAAAGCUAAAUAUUGGCGAGAGACCGAUAGCGAACAAGUACAGUGAUGGAAAGAUGAAAAGAACUUUGAAAAGAGAGUGAAAAAGUACGUGAAAUUGUUGAAAGGGAAGGGCUUGAGAUCAGACUUGGUAUUUUGUGUUCCUUAUUCUUUUUGGAUUUGGUUCCUCACAGCUUACCGGGCCAGCAUCGGUUUGGAUGGUAGGAUAAUGACAUUGGAAUGUAGCUUUGCUUCGGUGAAGUGUUAUAGACUUUGUUGAUACUGCCUAUCUAGACCGAGGACUGCGUCUUUGACUAGGAUGCUGGCGUA
rnacentral:rRNA from 1 species